rnacentral:pre_miRNA from 11 species
UGGGAGAAUCUGUUAAGCUCAGGAGGGAUAGCGCCAUGAGCCAUGAUGAAAAUGAUUGUUGAGUUGAAAAUUUUUUCUAGCUUGUUUUUUGGGUCAUCAUUUUGUGUGUGUGGCGCUAUCUAUCCUGAGUUUCACGGGWUCUUCUU